GUUUUUGUAGUUGAAUAACAACGGUGGUUUUUCAAGCCAUUGGUCCUGGUUAAAACCCUGGCAGGAAUU
rnacentral:tRNA from 1 species